rnacentral:tRNA from 1 species
GGAGAGGUCGCAUAGUCUGGCCGAGUGCGCACGAUUGGAAAUCGUGUGGGCGUAACAGCCUCGAGGGUUCAAAUCCCUCCCUCUCCGCCU